AUUGGACGCUGGCGGAAUGCUUUACACAUGCAAGUCGAACGGCAGCACGGACUUCGGUCUGGUGGCGAGUGGCGAACGGGUGAGUAAUGUAUCGGAACGUGCCCAGUCGUGGGGGAUAACGUAGUGAAAAUUACGCUAAUACCGCAUACGAUCUAUGGAUGAAAGAGGGGGAUCGCAAGACCUCGCGCGAUUGGAGCGGCCGAUAUCAGAUUAGGUAGUUGGUGGGGUAAAGGCCCACCAAGCCAACGAUCUGUAGCUGGUCUGAGAGGACGACCAGCCACACUGGAACUGAGACACGGUCCAGACUCCUGCGGGAGGCAGCAGUGGGGAAUUUUGGACAAUGGGCGAAAGCCUGAUCCAGCCAUUCCGCGUGCAGGAUGAAGGCCCUCGGGUUGUAAACUGCUUUUGUACAGAACGAAAAGGUUUCUACUAAUACUAGGAGCUCAUGACGGUACUGUAAGAAUAAGCACCGGCUAACUACGUGCCAGCCGCCGCCGUAA
rnacentral:rRNA from 1 species